GCCUGGUUCAAAUUGCCUGCCCAUGGCUGGCCCAGAGGCAAAAUUCCUGAGAAGAGCCGCCUUUUUAAAGCAUAAUCUUUGGGUUACGGCUUACAAUCAUGAUGAGAUGUACCCUGGAGGUGAAUUUCCCAAUCAAAAUCCCCGUGUAAAUGAAGGAUUAGCUACAUGGGUUAAGAAGAACAGAUCCCUCGAGGAAACUAACAUCGUUCUCUGGUAUGUAUUUGGGGUUACCCACAUUCCUCGGCUCGAAGAUUGGCCUGUUAUGCCUGUGGAACACAUAGGUUUUAUGCUUAUGCCCCAUGGUUUCUUCAAUUGUUCACCAGCUGUGGAUGUUCCACCCAGCACUACUGAGAGCGAGCCCAAGGACAAUGGAGUUUCAAAGCCGCUUCCCAGUGGUUUACUUGCAAAGCUUUGAGGGAUAUCAAAUGAUGUAACAAAUAUGAGCAUGCACUUAAAAUUGAUUCCAAGUAAAGAGACUCUUUCUUGUGGUUUUGUAUGGUAAUGUAGUCUGG
rnacentral:misc_RNA from 1 species